AUGGCUUGGACUCCUCUCAUCUUCAUGAUUCUAUCUUUCUGUACAGGUUCCUUUUCUCAGUCUAUACUGACACAACCGACCUCUAUCUCUGAGGCUCUUAGAUCAACAGCCAGACUCACCUGUACUCUGAAGAGUGGCAUCAAUGUUGGUAGUAAAAACAUUUACUGGUACAAGCAGGUGCAGGGGAGCUCUCCCCAGUUUUUUCUGUACUACUACUCAGACUCAGACAAGAAGCUGGGGCCUGGAGUCACUGAUAGAGUCUCUGGAUCCAAAGAUACCUCCAAAAAUGCUGCAAAUUUGCACAUCUCUGAGCUACAAGCAGAUGAUGAGGCUGACUAUUACUGUGCCAUCUGGGAAGAUAAUGUGUCUCACAGUGAUCCAGGCAGAUGGGGAAGGUCCUGGGCACAGUCUGGGCUGAGUCAGGAAGCCUUCAUGUCUGGUUCUAUUGGACAAGAAGUCACCCUCAUCUGUACUGGAAGUGGUGGUGAUGUUGGACUAUAUGAUGCAUCCUGGCACAAAGAAAUUCCUGGUGAUGUACCCAAAUUUGUGACAAUUGGCUAUUCCCGGCCCUUUAGCAAUACAUACUACCUAACUAUGACAGACCUCAAGCCUGAAGAUGAGGCCAGUUAUUACUGUUCAACAUGGGACAGUAGCACAAAUGCUCACACAGUGCUCCAGAUGCAUGGGGAACUGAGACUAAAACAUUCCCCUGACCUUCACUAG